AACGAACGCUGGCGGCGUGCCUAACACAUGCAAGUCGAACGAGAAAGGGGCUUCGGCUCCGAGUAAAGUGGCGCACGGGUGAGUAACACGUAGGUAACCUGCCUCUAAGAUUGGGAUAACUUGUCGAAAGAUGAGCUAAUACCAAAUAAGACCACGGUUCCCUCGGGGACAGAGGUCAAAGGUAGCCUCUAUUUAUAAGCUAUCGCUGAGAGAUGGGCCUGCGUACCAUUAGCUAGNGGUGAGGUAACGGCUCACCAAGGCAAAGAUGGUUAGCUGGUCUGAGAGGAUGAUCAGCCACACUGGAACUGAGACACGGUCCAGACUCCUACGGGAGGCAGCAGUGGGGAAUAUUGCGCAAUGGGCGAAAGCCUGACGCAGCAACGCCGCGUGAGUGAUGAA
rnacentral:rRNA from 1 species